AUUGAACGCUGGCGGCAGGCCUAACACAUGCAAGUCGAGCGAGCAGCGGAGUGGUGAGUAAUGUAUUGGGAUCUGCCCGACCGAGCGGGCUAACGACUGGAAACCGUGGAUAAUACCGCAUACUAUCGGAUGAAGCCAGAUGGGAGUAGCUAGUCGGUGUGGUAAAGGCUCACCGAGGCGACGAUCUCUAGCAGGUCUGAGAGGAUGAUCAGCCACACUGGGACUGAGAAACGGCCCAGAAUCCUACGGGAGGCAGCAGUGGGGAAUAUUGCACAAUGGGCGAAAGCCUGAUGGAGCCAUGCCGCGUGUAUGAAGAAGGCCUUAGGGUUGUAAAGUACUUUCAGCGGGGAGGCGUUACCUGCAGAAGAAGCACCGGCUAACUCCGUGCCAGCCGCCGCGGUAAUUC
rnacentral:rRNA from 1 species